AAGGUGUAUGAUGGGACUUGGGAGAAAGUACUCCCGGGUGACUAUGAUGUGCACCUGAU
rnacentral:pre_miRNA from 1 species